GUUAUUCUGUUUGACUAAAAUUAAUGAUAGAAAAGAAGAACAUGCUUUUGGAUCUUGCAGGAUGAUUGCUACUACUCUGGAUAUGUGGAAGAUGUCCCAGAAUCUGUUGCAGUUCUCAGCACUUGCUCUGGACUCUGUUGAUGAAGACUCGCCUGAUCGAUGUGGAGUAACUGAUGAAGAUAUGGAAGAUCAAGCAGCUAAAGACAGAGAACAUCAAAUAUCUAAGGUUCAAAUGGAGAGACAGCUUGUAGCAGAUAAAGGUGAACUAAACACUUUGUACACAUCUACCAGAUAUUUAGAGUGUUAUUUUGUUGCAGACAAAGCAAAGUUUCGCCAUGAAGAUUCCAAUGAAACUUUGUUGACAUUGAAGAUGCUCCAGUAUGUACAUUUAACAAGUGAAAUGUACCGUCCAUUUGGCCUUCACGUUGUUCUGAUUGCAUUAGAGCUUUGGACAGAAAGGGAUCUCAUGACAAUUACUCACCUUUUGGAACAGGUUAUUGUAUUUUAUUCGACCUAUGUUCGAAAAUUCCUUAUGGGCCGUGUACAAUUCGACCACACACAAUUAAUUGUGGGUGGAAAAUAUCCAGGGAUUGAUGGAUAUUCAUAUGGAGACCAUCUG
rnacentral:lncRNA from 1 species